UACGGAGGGUGCAAGCGUUUAUCCGGAUUCACUGGGUUUAAAGGGUGCGUAGGUGGAUCGGUAAGUCCGUGGUGAAAUCCCCGAGCUUAACUCGGGAACUGCCGUGGAUACUAUCGAUCUUGAAUACUGUGGAGGUAAGCGGAAUAUGUCAUGUAGCGGUGAAAUGCUUAGAUAUGACAUAGAACACCGAUAGCGAAGGCAGCUUGCUACACAGUUAUUGACACUGAGGCACGAAAGCGUGGGGAGCAAACAGG
rnacentral:rRNA from 1 species